rnacentral:misc_RNA from 1 species
GAAACCUCCAAGGAAGGAGAGGAAAAAGUUAUUAACUUCUCAUAUUAACCAAGCUACACCUGUUGCAGAGCAAGGAAGGUCUGUAUCUAUAGAUGCAGAAGAUAUGGCUGCCUCUGAGUCUCAGUUGGAUGGGCGACGCCAUCUUCAUUCUCCAUGGAUACAAAGAGAAAUCCUGCAUGUGUAGAUGUGGCAUUUAUGAUGGAUGGUAAAGGAGAAAGUCCUGAACAUACAGAUUACUCGGCCUGUAUGAUGCCGCCUCCAACAAAACGCUUUAAAUUUGUAUCAUCAAGUCAGCAUCUGUUGUUAUCAAAUGAUACAGAAAAAGCUUCUGGCCUAACAAAAUUCACAAGUGCCCAAGACAGUUUUUCCAUCAAGGAUUUUCAAAUAGAGUCAUCUUCAGGUGGUGACUUGCCAAAUGAUUGUGCUAUCGUCUCUAAGUUCCCUGGGCAAACUCAAGGAAAUUGCCUGCUGACAAAAGAUAUUCCAGUUCCCCUUGCUACAAAAAUUUAUUACUCUCAGAGGAACAAUCGCCUUCGGUCAGCAGUUGCUCAAAUGUACCAUGCAAGUGCAGAAGUAUCACAGGAAACUAUAAUUCAAUUACCAUCUUCAUCCUGUAAGGAAUGUUCACCUGAGCAAGUGGAUAACCUUCUCAACAAGAAGAGAGAGCCUUCUGCAUUUAAACCUGAUCAAAUUCUUGCACAAAGCUCAGAAUUGUGCUUGGAUAAAUCAGGAGGAUGCAUACCAGCCAUUAGCUCUAGCUUCUCAAAUCAGCUUUCUGUUGAUAACAUUCUAAGGCCUCAGACUGCUCCUGUAUUGGUCAGAAGCAAAUAUCUUCCAAAGUCUUAUUCUUUUGCAGGCAACUCUGGACAAUCGCUAGGGUCUAUGCAGCAAGCAAGUGGAAGCGUUCCCGUUUUAUAGGAGUCAUUGUUGUGGAAAUUUUGGCUAAUCAAAGGUGUAUUUAGUACAAUACAUAAGGUUAGGAUCUAUUUUUGAAAUUGAAAAGGCAAUUUACCAUAAUUGUUUAUUCUAACCUUCUGUAAUCCGUCUAAUGCUUGACUGCUGCUCUGUUUAUACUUACAG